AGCCUCGGAUAUGAUUUUUAUGGAGGUCAUCUGGGAGGAGUUGGAAUUGGAUCCAAUUCCCGCUUGACAGCGCAGAUUUGUUCUCGCGAAUCCAUUCACCAGUUCUAUGCUACAUAUUCUUAGAUGCAGAUUUGUUCUCGCAAAUCCAUUCACCAGUUCUAUGCUACAUAUUCUUAGAUAUUCAUUCAAUCGCUCAAAAGUCCCAUUCAUUCUCGAGUUAUGGGUGUUGGAUUCCGUCAUGAUGGCAUGCUCAGACUGAGGGUUGCUCGCACUCUUACCAUAUACAAGUUUAAUUUCGUGAUAUCUCCAUUUCAUACUCGACCACCAUUGCUUCUAUGUGAACGUGGACCGAGCAUCCCUUCAGGUGUACGCCCAACUCUUGCACAGAGGCAAAGGCUUUGUUUUUAGGUACCGAAAUCCACUUGCAAAUAUUGUUUUUCAUAAGAGAAAGACACACCUGCCCAUAUUAUACAAGGUAUUGAGCGUUGAGAUGGACCCAAAUUCGAUUCACAAGAAAGUGCACUUACAUGUUCUUAAAAAUUGGGUCCAAAAAUCCAUCACAAAAUUAUAUUUUAAGAGGUGACUUAUUUCUCAAUGGACUCAUAGGAACCUUGUCCUUUGGAUAAUGUCCCUCUAUAAUAACUAUAGUGAUAAAUAAGUAUGGACAAGGUUUUUAUGAGUCGGCAAUCUCAUCUAUUUAUAUGAGCCUCUUGCAAAAUCUAUUUUAGAGAGAUUUUUGGAUUCAAAAUUUUAGGGGAUGAAAAUCUCGAUCAUGAUAGGUAAGAACCUGAAAAAAAUAUAUAUAUAUAUAAAAUAUCAAAUUUUUUAUUUAUUUUUACGUACUUUGAACAUUGUCGAUUUCAAUUUUUUGUGGGGUUGCCAUUUUGGAGCAUCCAUCUCCAAGAUGGGUGUUACAUGUGCCAGAGGACUCAAGGUACACUAUUACAAAAGCACAUGUCCCCUGACGCAUAAACUACUUUUAGCAUAAUUUUUUAUUUGAUGGCCAUAAAGAAUAGGGUUUAGUUGAUAUUAGAUAUGGAUUUUGGAAUAAAAUCAGGCAGGUAACAAAUAUUAAAAUAAAUAAACAAAUGACCCUAAAAAACAGUUUUUUUUGUAUUUUGUAUUUUCUAUUUUCUAAAUGGUAAGUGUUAAUUUUUUAAAGAUCAUCAGAUUUACACUCUUUAGAGCUUCAAAUUUACAUUUUCAAUAAAAAAUGGUCCUCAUAAAUCAUGGCGAAAAUCGUCUAGCACACCAAAUAUUUUUCUUACUCUUUCGGUUUACUUUGCACGUGUAUCAGUAGGUCUAGUGUUUUAAAUCCCGAUGAACCAGAUAGAGAACGGCUGAUCCAUAUCAGAUUUGGCGGUCUUUGGGUUUACUUUGCGCGUGUACAAGUAGGUCUAGUGUUUUAAAUCCGGAUGAUCCAGAUCAAGAACAGCUGAUUCAUAUCAGAUUUGGCGAGUGCGUGAUCCGGGUCUUGACUCCCCCACAAAUCUAUCCUUGGAUGAAGCUUCUAUGAGCCCUAGGUUUUAUCAAAACAAAGUAAAGCAUCAAAUCCUCGUCUCGAAAGCACUUUCAAUAAUGGAAAUUUUUAUGAUGGAUCUAAACUCAAUUUCCAACACUGAAAAUAAGAUUUGAAACUCAAAAAAGAGUACAGAUCUUGUGGAUCUAUAGACAUUUAUUUUUAUGGUAAAAUGGACGGUCUACAUAAUUUAUUACAAUAUAAACUAUUUUUAGAGCUUAAAUUUUUUUUUUUUUUCACAAUCAUAAUGUUCAUACCGAUAUGAAAGUGUAAAGGCUUUUCAAUACUUGAGCUAUAAUUUUUGAUGAGUUAUCAGGUGAGGAUAUACUUAUUUUGAUAGAAUUGUGGCCUUAUCAAACCAUUUUUCUUGCUUUUUUAAUUAUUUGUUUAACUGAUUUUCUGCCAGUUCAGCAUAGUCGGAUCGGGGAUCCAGAUUCAUACAAUGGCCAAAACCUCGUCCCCAAGUUUUGAAGCACUGAGCAUAUCACCAAAUUAAUAAGCAUUAUCCCUGUGUUUCUCUCUUUCCCUGAAAGCACUUCACAAGGAUGGCCACACUAUUCUCAUGCAAACUGAAGAAAGUAGACGACAGUAACAGGGUUUUGCUAACUUUUAAGCUUAACUAAGCAAUAAUUACAUGUACGAUACGGCAAAUGCACGUGAAUUAUAAGGAAACAAGUAUUAUAAUUAAUGAAAGAAUAUUAGAUUAAGAAGCAAGAUCGGUGUAUAUUCUUUUGACUCUUGUUUUUGUUUUAAAAUAUUUUAAGGUGCACGUUCUCACCAUUUGCAAUGUCAGGACAUCAUGGUCAUUUCUGAAAUAUACAGCUGCAUACCCCUCUCUAAGAGAUUAAUUUAAUGUGGGGAAUUUUCCCCAUAUCCCUUUUGUUAAAGACUAUUUUAUCACACUUUAUUUAAACACUGACAAAAUUGACCAUAAUUAAAAGAAAAAGGGCACAUGAAACUAUAAAGUAC
rnacentral:lncRNA from 1 species